UACGUAGGGGGCUAGCGUUGUCCGGAAUCAUUGGGCGUAAAGAGCGCGUAGGCGGCUGGAAUAGUCCGGUGUGAAAUCCACAGGCUUAACCUGUGAAUGCCGCUGGAAACUGUCUGGCUAGAGUCCGGAAGAGGAGACUGGAAUUCCUGGUGUAGCGGUGGAAUGCGCAGAUAUCAGGAGGAACACCGGUGGCGAAGGCGAGUCGCUGGGCAGUAACUGACGCUGAGGAGCGAAAGCGUGGGGAGCGAACAGG
rnacentral:rRNA from 1 species